UACGUAGGGUGCAAGCGUUGUCCGGAAUUAUUGGGCGUAAAGAGCGCGCAGGCGGUCGUACAAGUCGCGUGUGAAAGCCCCCGGCUCAACUGGGGAGGGUCACGCGAUACUGUUCGACUCGAAGGCAGGAGAGGGUAGUGGAAUUCCCGGUGUAGUGGUGAAAUGCGUAGAUAUCGGGAGGAACACCAGUGGCGAAGGCGACUACCUGGCCUGUUCUUGACGCUGAGGCGCGAAAGCUAGGGUAGCAAACGGG
rnacentral:rRNA from 1 species